rnacentral:pre_miRNA from 1 species
UCAUGGUGGUACUGUGGCUGGUAGUGGUGCUGGGGCUGAGGAGCCUGGUAUCCCUUAAUGGGUUCACGAUGAACCUGAGCGAUGAAUCCGCUCUUUCCCUCAACGUGGUACGUGACGGUACGCUUGUGGCCAUCGUGAGCCCAUCAAGGGAUACCAGGCUCCUCAGCCCCAGCACCACUACCAGCCACAGCACCA